rnacentral:rRNA from 1 species
ACCUGCCGACAACACUGGGAUAGCCUUUCGAAAGAAAGAUUAAUACCGGAUGGCAUAGUCUUCCCGCAUGGGAUGACUAUUAAAGAAUUUCGGUUGUCGAUGGGGAUGCGUUCCAUUAGGCAGUUGGCGGGGUAACGGCCCACCAAACCAACGAUGGAUAGGGGUUCUGAGAGGAAGGUCCCCCACAUUGGAACUGAGACACGGUCCAAACUCCUACGGGAGGCAGCAGUGAGGAAUAUUGGUCAAUGGACGAGAGUCUGAACCAGCCAAGUAGCGUGAAGGAUGACUGCCCUAUGGGUUGUAAACUUCUUUUAUACGGGAAUAAAGUGAGCCACGUGUGGCUUUUUG